AGGGGCUAUUUCGGGCAUUACUGGGCGUAAGCGCACGCAGGCGGUCUGUUAAGUCAGAUGUGAAAUCCCCGGGCUUAACCUGGGAACUGCAUUUGAAACUGGCAGGCUUGAGUCUUGUAGAGGGGGGUAGAAUUCCAGGUGUAGCGGUGAAAUGCGUAGAGAUCUGGAGGAAUACCGGUGGCGAAGGCGGCCCCCUGGACAAAGACUGACGCUCAGGUGCGAAAGCGUGGGGAGCAAACAGGAUUAGAUACCCUGGUAGUCCACGCCGUAAACGAUGUCAACUUGGAGGUUGUUCCCUUGAGGAGUGGCUUCCGGAGCUAACGCGUUAAGUCGACCGCCUGGGGAGUACGGCCGCAAGGUUAAAACUCAAAUGAAUUGACGGGGGCCCGCACAAGCGGUGGAGCAUGUGGUUUAAUUCGAUGCAACGCGAAGAACCUUACCUACUCUUGACAUCCACCGAACUUUCCAGAGAUGGAUUGGUGCCUUCGGGAACGCUGAGACAGGUGCUGCAUGGCUGUCGUCAGCUCGUGUUGUGAAAUGUUGGGUUAAGUCCCGCAACGAGCGCAACCUUUAUCCUUUGUUGCCAGCGAUUCGGUCGGGAACUCAAAGGGGAACUGCCGGGGAUAAACCCGAGGGAAGGU
rnacentral:rRNA from 1 species